CCCUCUUAUAAUAGUUCCAGGAUGGAUUUGAAUUUGUGAUUGCUCUUUGACCAAAUGGAUUCUGCUCCACAUACUUCCUAACAUCGUCGGCCAAAGCUAAGCUUUCUAGGUAGACCCGCAGGUCACCUCCAGGUCCUGCAUAAAGGAUUAAUUUGCGAAUGAAAUAGUUAGAGCACUGAUGAAAAACUGCAACAACUGAGAGAAUGAGAGCAUUAUCAGCUACUGGAUGAUCUUUUUCCAAGAAAGAUAUAAAAAGCCUAACGAUACAGUAACAGAUAAGAGGUAGCAAAAUAAUGCACAAGGUGACCUGUUGACUUGCCAAAUUUGCAAGUAUUACGAUAGGCCAGAAAAAGUUUGAUCUAUAGCUUACUCAGCCGGGAUCAUAAGAUUCCAUGAGCUUGGGGAAAUCUGGAAAUUUUAGGGACAACAGUAAUAACAAAUUUAUGGGCAGACAACCAAGUAGAUUUGCACGUCUGCUGACAAACAAAACUUUCAACAGAUCAAAAGGCGAUAUCUCAUACCUCUGGCACAGUAGAAUAAACAAAGUGCCAACUAUAUGAAUGUCCAGGAUGAUGAACUCAACAGAGCAAAUAAUUGACCAAGUUUAUGUCACUAUGCUGUCCCCGGUCAAUUUAUACAUGAAAAGACUAAAAGAAAGCACUCGCUAUCGAUUCAGCUAUCCAUUGCACCCUUUUAGAAUGCACAACAGAACGGUAAUUAGAGCAUUUUCAAAAGAACUAUCAUUUAUUCAGCUACCUGCUAUGGCUUCUUCGUGAGAUCAUUCCAUGCAUCCUAAAUAAAACAUAAAAAAAAAGAUCUAUGCGAAGGUGCCUGAAGAAAUAAUGUUGUCGAUAUUUUAAAUUUCUAAAACACAGAAAAUACAUGCAUAUUUUAAUGUCUCUUACCUAUAGAAUUGUCUUUGGCAUCUCUAUAGUGGUAUGAAUAGGGAAAUAUUCCAGUGUUUGCCUGGAUGAGGAUAGGUCCAACAGGGAUAAAGUGACGUUAGUCAUACUGUUUAUGAAUGAAAUCAGCUGUCAAGACGAGAACGCUUAUCUGACUAACCGGAUUGCGAAGGGCUUUGUACGGAGAAUCAUCCAACAACAAAGUGUUUGACUCAUUAUACGCUCCUUUCUCCCAUGGAAGAUUAGGCUCGAGCUUAUCCCACAAUUUCCUAAGUUCCUUCAAAACCAGGGGCUUAUCCCUCUUCUCGAGGGUAGAGAACUUUGUCAUAGUACAGUGAGACUGAUCCUGUACUAAAUCAAUUUCCAUUAAGAUAUGACUGCAAUGAAAUAGAAUCUAAUAAAAGAAAGACUGCAAUAAACUAAAAAUAUAACUGAUAUGAUGUUAUUAUCAUUGAGAUGCAUAAAGGUUGAGACAUUUACUUUUUAACAGGAAACCAAUAGCUACUACAGGAACGGUUACUUGCAGUAGUUUAAGUAUAUGCUUUUACUUGUGAGAUUUUGCGGACCACUGUCAACUGUUCUGAAAGCUUAAGUUGUUAAAUAAGGGUGUCGUUUAAUAUUUAAAUAUUCUAACACUCCCCCUCAUGCUAAGUCUGGUAUUUUUUUUUUUGCCUAGUAUUGGGGAGGCAAAUAUGGUCUAGAAAGAUUUGAACUCAGCACCUCCAGUUCUGAUAGUUCUGAUACCAUGUAAGAUUUUUUAGAACCACUAUCAACUAUUCUAAAGGCUUAAAUUGUUAGAUGAAGGUGUGGUUUAAUAUUUAAAUAUUCCAACAUUACUAAUUACGCAUUGUAAGCAAAACUUUAAUGUACUUACGCAACUUCAACCAAGGACCUAAGGAAAACUACAAUAAGGAAAAGGGGACAUAUCAUGGGGUACAAAGUCAAUUUCCAACUUAACAGGGGAUGUUAAGGAUUUUUAUUAAUGUGAAAGACUAAAAUAUCAUAAAGUUCAUACAAAUAAGGUGAAAUGUGGCUCACUUCCAAGGAUAUACCUAUAUAUUCACAGGAAGGAGCGAUGCAAUCACAAAGUUGAAAGAGAACUUAUUCAUCUAAUCAACUACCUGACAAAGUAUAUAAUCAAGGGAUAAAAUGGACAACUUGAAACAUCAAGAGAAUAUAAUCAGUUGGAAAAUAAAUACUAGGUAUUCAUUCCAUCUGAAAAACAGGAGGCCACAAGAUAAUAGAAGCAAAUAUAGAAAAACUUUCCCACUCUUCAGCUGAAAUUAAAGAGGCAGAUCCUACACUCAGGCUCUUAGUCCCAUUAGCUGUAGAGAUCAAUCUUACACCAAACUGAUGAGGAACUGAAAAGUAGCCCUUGCUCUUUCUUAAUGGUCUGCAGUCAGUCGCCAUCCAUGCAAGAUGAGCAAUGGGACAAAAUGGACACAGACAUAGAAAAGAAAAUCUCCAUGUGAGAGCUGCUUACCCAACAGAAAAGCAAUUUUCUUUUGGAGUCGCCCAUAAUAAAGUCUACAACUGGAUCCACAUUUCUCCUGUAAAAUGAAUAACUAAGACCAUAUAAUGCACAGUGAAUAUUAAAGCUGGGCAAACUUUAUUGUGAAGUGACACACACCCACCCACAGAACACUAGGUUGUCAGGAUGGGGAUCCCAAGUAGGAUCCCUUCGCAAUCUUCAACGGUCAGAUAAAAAAUCAUAAGAUCCUACAACUUCAUUGAAAUGACCCUAAAAUAUGAAAUGCUUAGUUAACUCAGUAUUGUGAAGUGACACACACCCACCCACAGAACACUAGGUCAUCAGGAUCGGGAUCCCAAGUUGGAUCCUUUCGCGAUCUUCAACGGCCAGAUAAAAAAUCGCAAGAUCCUACAACUUUAUUGAAGUGACCCAAUGCUUAGUUAACUCACUGUAAUUAGAUGCAUAUUAACCUUAAAAGGAGGUAUUGAAGCUCCAAGGCAUGGUUCCCUUGUGAGAGAACACUUGGGUAUAAAUUCUCCGUUGCCAGUUUUUCAACUAACAGUUGAAGCACCAUGUCAAGAAAAUUAAGAAAAUGUAAAAGAAUGAAAUCUCCUUCCCCUAUUUUUCUUUUAUGUUUUCCCCACUUGCCAUUUGUCUAUCAGCUUCACUUGAGGUGGAUUCAAUAGGAUCACAACAAUCUCCAUGACAAUCAAUGAAAAGGCUGCAUAAAGAUCCCUUUCCCGCCUUUUCCUCAUAUCUAAUCCUUCAUUUUGUCCUCCUCUCUGGUCAUACACAUACCUUCUCUUUCUUUAUUUCACAGGACAAAACCAAUCUCAGAUCCACACUCUCUGAUUUACCUCUCUUUUAUCCUCUGUAACGUACCUCACUUUCACUUGCUAUUCGUGGGUUUUCAGUUCUUUAGCCUUUAGCUUAAGAGGUCUAAUCAGUACAAAUCCAAACAAAUUACGCUACUGGGCCAAGUAAAAUAGGGUGCCAAUUUCUUAAGGAUGUUCCAGAGGUAAUCUCUCUCCUCUGGUUGCAUAAGGAUGGAAGCUUUGCCUCUCUAGUCUCCAAAGGAUGGUACAAUUAAGAGAGCCAGAGGUAGUUGAUACUCGUCUCAUCAUUGACUCGAGACUGAAGAAGAAGUAGAAGGAGAUGAGUGUCACUGCUCUGCUUUGUUUUCUACUGUGCAUUUAUGUCCAUCUUUUUUCUUAGUUCUCCAAGCUGUAUAUUUUCCAAAUAUGGAUUGAAAACAUUAUUUAAGAAGAAAGUGGCCCCCAUGGGCUAGAAGGAAGGAGGUCUAAUUUCAUGUUUGCUCUGCCUGAAAAGACAGACUUCCCUCCUAAAGCUGGAUCAGUGGAAUCGUAGUUGGGAUGGCAAUCCCACCCAAUCCUAUGAUCUGGAUCACGAUCCCAACAGACUACAAUUUUUAUUACAAUCCAGAUUGUUCAAAGGUUUUUGAGUACCAGGAUUGUACGACCAUGAUCCUACAAUCUAUAUUGUGAUCCUAACAACCACGUGUGUGUGCAGAGAGAAGAGUCUUGUAAUAACGCUAAAGGAAUUACAAGGAUGAGAAGACUGCAGGUCAUAGACUGAACAACAUACUUUGUCCUUGAAGACCAAACCCCAACAGCAAAUUUCUCAAAGCAAAAUUGUACAAAAUCAUCAACAAAGGGCCUUUUGAAUACUGCAAGAGCGAACAAUGAGUUAGAACAAUGAUAUUAGAUUACAUAAAAAAUAUCAACCUUUCACGAAUUCUCAACUCUUUACCUGCUUUUCUUGACACAAUUAAGUCUGGUUUACAUCCCAAGCCAACAUAUGGAAUUAUAUCUGCCAACAGUCCAUUCAGAUCAAGUAUAAGAAGCUUUUUUCUAGAAGGUCCAAUGCUAGUCCUCUCUAACGAUAUAUCCGGAAUUUGCCAAGGCAUGCUUCCAUUGUUGAUAUUAAUAUCUGAUUUAAUAUCACCUUCAGAUACCAACAAUUCUGACGAAGGAUUUCCUUCAUUGAUCUGCCUCUUUACCUUGCCACCAUUUCCAUUUGAGUUCUCACAUGAAGAAACACGCCCAGAAUCAACUGAAGCCUCUGCUUUCGAAGUUUUUAUGGAAGCCUGCGCUAAUGUAACUUGUAUCCUUUCUUCUACUUGUUCUGGUUUACUGUCUGAAAGACGAGAGAUGCGAGCUUCAUCAGAAUGAAAGGAAGUCUCUUUAUGUACAAGGUCCUCAGAAAUGUCCGCACUUCCUGUUGUUAACUUUGAUGAUGGUUUUUUCCUAUGAUCGGUUUUGAGCUUUUUGACACUUUUCUUCUUUGAAGAGGUACUCAUACUGCUGAAAUCACUCAAUAAGGUAUGAGCUUCUCCAUGUACAUCUUCUUUUUCUAAUGAACACAAAUUCUUCUCAAUGUCGCUUUGCUUAACACAGGUCGAGGAAAAUUCCUUCAGAGUAUUUUCAUCCAAUUCAGCGAUUUGUGGAACAUCAUUUGGGAUUUUAGUGAGCGUAUCACUCUUCCCAGAGACCUUCUCCUUGGCUUUUGCCUCUUUUUUCCUCAUCCUCCACAACUUUCUCUUCUCCUUCUUUUUCAUUUGCCUUUUGGUAAGGCAGUUUGCUUCACCAGUUGGUUGGAUCUUCUCAUGUUCCAAUAUUUGAUGGGAAUUGCCAGAGGAACAUGUUAUAUUAUAUUUAACGUCCAGCUCAUUAGCUUGCAGUACAGAACAUGGGACUUCUGCACCAGUAUCACCUUGAGUAGUGCUUGUUUCCUGGAUCUUUCUUUUCUUCUUCUUUUUCUUCUUCUUUCUGUUUGCAGGUAAAGGAUUUAAUUCAUUGCAUGGCUGAGCCUUAGAAUCAGCUGAGGAAGGUAAAGAAAUAAUCACAUUCAGCAGGGCUGAGCUUGAAUCAGCUGGGGAAGGUAAAGAAAUAAUCACGUUCACCGAUGAAUUUUUCUCUGGAAAAUAAUUCUCUUUAUCCAUCCCAAGAUUUGAAACAUUUCUAUUACUCUCCUCCCUCUUCCUUUUUCUCUUCUUGUCCACUACUGAGCUACUACCACUGCACGGCUCUGCCUCCAUAACUUAUUUAAGAAUAAUAAUUGACCCAAGACACUGAACUAUUACUCCAACCCAAAAGCCUAGCGUCCUAACUUUGCAGUCUGGUCCCUCAUCACAUCCUAUUGGAGAUUUAUUCAUGGACAAUGAUCUCUUCUUUCAAAGCAGGGCAAGAAAAUUUUCCCAGAGAUGGAUACUUAAGUUAUUUCAAUCCUUAAUGCCCCUUUGACCAUUCCAAAGCUGUAACAUGGAUGUGAAUGAAACCAGCACAUAAGUUCGAAAUAUAUGCCUUCAAAUACCUUCCCCACAGUAAGAUGCAAUCAGUCAGUUCUACUAAAACACCUAAUUCUCUGAUUGGGGAGAAAAAUAAAACAAUGGAGAAGACUUAAAGCAGUAAACUAGGCCAAGAAACGAUGCUAAAUCUAAGGCCAUUCAAAAUUCUUUUCAAUUAAGCAACUAUUUCCUGCAUGCGCGUUAUCCCUUCUUGCGUCCAUUCUCAUGUGCAUGAACUUAAAUCUAUCAGAUGUUGCUUAUCCUAACAUAAUGAAAUGGGAAUUCAGAACUCAUAUCACCAUAAAACAAUAAUGUUGAAGCUAAUUGACAUUUUCACGCAUAGAAAUUAUCCUCAAUGGUAACUGAAACUAAGUAACCAGAUCCUACUCAGACAAUUUCUAAAAAAAGAAAGUUCUCUUACAAAUACCAAUUCUUCAUCUGGUUUACUGCCCCAAUAUAUUUUCAUAUUUGAAUGCCACUCUGUUUCCUACUCAACCAAUUCAAGAUAUUGCUUCAGCAGCAGACAAGUACCAAAACCACCUAUGACCCAUCUACAAAGCCACAAGCACUAAUACAUCAGUUUGAGGUACGUUCACAUGAAAGUCAAAGAGAGAAACACACAAAACACCCAGCUUUUCCUUUUGAUUACCUCAAGGGGCAGCCACACAUGCCAAAUUAGUAAUUAUGUCAUCUACACACAUGAAUUGUAAAUCCCAGCUGAGAAAUGGAGAGAUCACAAUCAUGAAGAUUAUGGCAAUCAACAAUACUCCAAAUAAAAAUAGAGAAUCUCCCACUUUCCCAGUCUUCCAUACAAGUUCUCAACAUAUUUAGUCAACAGGAACUCGGAUUCGAAUAAGACAUACUCAGUUUCUUCACUUUCUCGGAUAUUUGAUUAACUCACAUGAUGAAAGAAAUCAUUCACAGCUACAAAAAACUAGUAAAAUCUAAGAUGCAAAACAACCGCUGCCACGAGGAGUUCGCUCUUACUCUGAUUAACCAGAGGAACAGUUGGCUGGUUAUUAGCCUAAGGAGUUCAUUACUUCACUACUGUGACGUCAAAUGCCCGAAGCACAUUAGCUUCACAUCCCCCACCUACAGAUAAAAUGACCCUAAUAAUAAUGAAGCAAAUUAGCUUCACAUCUUCCCCCCUACACAUAAAAUGAGCCCACUCCAAAGCAUGUAUCUCCAAAAGCAUCGUCACGUGCAGAACAACAGAAGCGGGUGCUUGUCAGACCCAGAACCCACUUCGCAAAUUUCAACCUUGACGAGGAAAACCACCAAUCUAAGAGCAUCUUCAGACACCCUUUCCCUCCGAGCAAGACUCUAAAGGGACCCACGUCGACUAAAACAAGAAACAGGCAGAAACAACACCGACCCAGAACCCCAAAAACCCAAAAAAGCUCCAAAACCCCACAGCCCCCCUUCCCUUGGUCUCAAACGAGACCGCAGAAACACGCCAAGACACGAAACACGUAACAGAUUGACGUAAAUAGUAGAGAAGAGCACGCAGGAAGGGGUAAACGGUGAGUGGAAAGAAGAGCCCCGCCCUCACCUUCUUCUCCUCUUCCUCGCGUCCUUCAGCUCGGAUCAGAAGCCAACAUGGCAGGAAACGAGAGAAUGCCUCCUCUUGCUUGAAAUCCGUGCUAGUACAGGGUGGUCACAUCUUUCGAAUCGAGCUGCGACUCAAUGAGUGAGUUCGACACUGAGUGGCGCGCCGAAUCGUGGGCGACUCGCCGGUUUCUCGCCCGGCAAGAAAAGAACACGACAUUGAUCUACGUUCCUUACAAGUUUCGCCUUAAAUUUGAAACCUUAAGUUAUUUUUUUUUUGUUUCAUUUUUAAUUAAACAAAACAAAAAUUAUUACAACAAUAAUAAUAAACAAGUUUGCCAUUCAUCAAAGAAACUACAAAAUGAACAAAACUAUCAAUCAAAGAAAAUGAAUUGUUGGCAAGGAAUUCAAUUAAGUAAAUUUAUUUGAAACUUGGAACCUAUCUAUUAGAACAAAUUCCUCAUUUUUGGGAACUUAAAAUCUACUUUAUAUACCCUAAAACUUGGAAUCUAUCUUAUCAUAGGUUCCAAGGUAUACUUAGGUUCCACUUAUAUUAUUAUUUGAACUAUUACUAUUCAAUAAUCAUAACUUAGAUUUAAAUACACGAAAAAUAUGAACCUUAAUAAGGUAUAAAUCUUAGCCAUAAAAUGGAAACUCGGACUAAUGCUUUCAAAUUAUACACUCAUCAUUGAAUAUCAUAAAAUAUCGGAAGAUCGCACGGAAAUAUGAAUAAAAAAAAUAUUAAAACUUGUUUCAAGUUCUAAGUUCCUCAACCUACCCAUUAAAAUAUAUUCCUCAUUUUUUAGAAUCUAAAACCUACCCCGCAUAUUUUGGAACCUGAAACCUACAUAUUCCUAUCAGUCUAGUUCUCAAGUUCCAAGUUUUGCCAUGGAACCAUGUUCACCCUUAGUGUGGCUCGACUAAAAAAUUCUCAAUUAUUUUUUUUCCAAAAAAAAAAAUUAUUGCUUUCUCUAAUUUCAUCUAUCCAUUUUUAAAUUAAAUAAUUAAAUUCUCUUGGUUGAUUUUUUUUUUUAUCGAAAAUUUCUCUUGGUUGGUUAAACAUUCAAUAUUCGAGUCGCAAACUGUAUCAUUAAGGCAUUGUUUGGUAACCAUCAAAACAGUGUCUGAUUCUAAUUUUUUGUUCCCAGAAUCAAUUUGGGAACAGAAUCGCGUUUGAUAAAUUUUUUGUUCUCAGAAUCAGUUUGGGAAUAGAAUUGCGUUUGAUAAAUUUUUUGUUCUCAAAAUCAAUUUUGGACAAAAAUUGAGAAUAAAAAAAAAAAUAUGAUUCUCAGUCUGAGAAUCAAAAUUCUUCUUCUUCUCUUUUCUUCUUCUUCAUCGAUCGCCAUCCCACGACCGUCACCCGCCGCCGCCAUCCGCCGUCCAUCGGUUGUCGGCAACCUAUCCGGCGAGCUCGCUGGAGGAUUGCUAGGCAAAGGCGAGGUCCGGCGAGCUCGCCGGAGGCUUGCUAGGCCAAAGCGAGGUCUGGCGAGCUUGCCGGAGGCAAGCACAGCCCCGUCGGUGGCCAGGCGGGCCUCACCCAGCCCCGGCGAGGCUCACUUGGCCACCAGCGAGACUCACCCAACCCCGCCAGUGGCCAAGCAGGCCUCGCCCAGCCCCGGCGAGGUCGGCCUAGCCACCGGCGAGGCUCGGCCAACGAGGGCCAGCGACGCUCCAAUGAGGUCGCCGGCCCUCAUCUGGCCGAUCGCUGGACCGGCGACCGCCCUAAAGAAGAAGAAGAAUAGGAGAAAAAAGAAAAAAAAAAGAAAAAAUUAUUUAAAAAUUUAAAAAAAUGAUUUGGAACAGAAUCAAUGAACACGGUACCAAACACAAUUCUAUUCCAGAAUCAGAAAUUUUGUAUAGUUACCAAACGCAUUUUUUUACUUAGAAUCAGUUCCCGGGAACAGAAUAAAAAAAAAAAAAUCAUUUCUGAUCAGAAUUUGUUCCCGGGAACAAAAUCAUUACCAAACGCGCCCUAAAUGUCUUUAUCCAAGCCGGUUCAAAUGUGCCUCCAGUAGUUUCCAACUCGAGCUUGAUUAGGAAAAUUAGCGAGCCGCCAAGCCCACCAUCGGCUCCAUUCUCAAGUACUCGUCUAACAUUUAGCGAAUUCGAUGGCCCCUCUCUAUGUGCAGAGUACUAAAUUACAUGCUCAGGAGAUGAUUUGAUUCAAACAAUGAGGAACUUUAAAAAUGGGAAACAUAAUAAGCAUGUCCAGAAAACUAUCAGUUUGAGUUAAAUAGAAAAUCUGGUGUCAUUCUAAGUAUACCAUAUAAUAUUUUCCUUUUUGGCUUAUAGAUGAGUGAACCUACCAUAUUGUAGUAAAUUGCACGUUACGGUUUUGGAAAAUAAAAUGUUCAUGGAAGAUAACUUAGACAAUUAUAUUAACUAACUAUUCAAAUUAAGAUUUCCACCCAUCUUGCCAUAUCGAUACUAAUAAAACACGUCUUAACAAAAGAAACAUGCAUUAUCGGGUGAUAUUAUCUGAACAUACAUGCUCACAACGAGGAAUAAGACCGUCAAGUCUCUCGUCACGGAACCUUGGCAACACCUUCACAAAGACGAAUCAACUUUCGGAGCAAAAACUUCCAGAGGAGGAUGUACUACUUUCAGGAUCAAGUGAAGCUUUUUACAUGAAUCCACAAAAAAGCGUGACCCGAAUCGAGCAAUAUGUAAACGGGCUCUGUAGCCUCUAUGGACAAAAUUCUCCCGAGACUGCUAAUCGAGACACCCUCUUCUCGGUUCGGUAAGUGAGAACUUUUUUCUACGGCGAGAGUACGUGAAUCACACAGCUUUCCUCGUCCUCUGUAGUUACUCGGUGAAAUACCUGAAAGGCUGAGAAAAGUAUUGAGUUCAGUUUUGUCGAUGAAGUCAUAACCCAUAAUGCGUGCAUUUACGAAAUGAGAGAUUAGUCCCAUCCAUAUGUGUAUACAAGAAUGGCAGAAGAUGAGAUACCAAUUAAUAUGAACAAAGGGAAAACGAAAGCAUGUGAGUACUGACGCUGGAACCGCGAUGCGAAAAAAAUUGUAAAGCAAAUUUCGUGUUGAAAUGCACAUUAGAAAGCGCAUUUUGCAGCUCGGAAGAACGUACUGAUGUCAAAGACACUACUAAUUUGCAUUUCCUCGAUCUACAUUUAACUUCAAUGCUGUCCUUGCAGUAACUAGGUGCUUUCUCUUUCCCUAACCUCAAAAUCAAUUUUCACUCCCAUCCAUAGACUAGAGCAAACGGUUGGUGGGUUGAAAUAUCUGUUCAACAUCAUUUCAACAUCCAAAUUGUCCACAGCUCAGCCAAACCUCUGGUAUGAUAGAUACAUAUGGCCUUGAAAUCCAUCAGUUUCAUAUCUACGCGUUGACAUACUUAUCAACGUAUCCCUGCAAAAGCACCAACAAGGUGGCAUUAGGUAACCAUGCCAAAAUAUAAUCAUGUAAUGCAUUUGCAGGAUAUCUGCAAAUUGCUUCCAUCAGGCUGUUAGUGUGCGGAAAGGUAAAAAAUGCUUAAUGUAACUUCUCCUCACUGGAAUUUCGGUAAAUCUAUCUGCUUAGAAGUGUGAGUAAUUGUACCGGGACUUACCAUCACAAGUUUUGUAAGCUUGCGUUGUGAAGAAUCAAUGUAGUGAUUUAUCUUUACUUGAGAUUUCGGUAUGUGGUGGCUCUUCAUAGCUCCAGUAACUUUGUUGACAGUUUUCUUCACAAUAGUCUUAAAUGCCUCUUUGCUCAUAUUCCCUUGCCGCCAUGAUGGCCGUAGGACUUCCCUCACAAAAUCUGCAAGGGCAAUUUUGAAAAGCUUCAUUGACCUAGAAUCCUUGCGCUUCUUGCUCUUCCCAGGGAAUUUAAUCUGAUCAAUCUCCAUCUCAACCUCGGUCGCAUCUGCUGCAUCAAUAGCAUUGCUGACGCUUGCAUUCUCAACUGCACCAACUUCCACUCCUGCAGUCUCACCAAACCCAUCAUCAUCUACAGAUAUGGAUGAAGCAAAGGCUCUAAUCUCUUUCCUUUUAUUGUUCUCUUCCACAUCUACUGGCAUAUUUGAAUCACUGUUCCUCAAAAUGACAUCGCUAUCAUCAACUGAUUCCCCCUCAUGUGCGCGAUCAACUUUCUUGACUGAACUUGAAAAGGGUUCAAUACUGUCAAAAAGUGGAUCAUAUCGAUCACCACCAAUAUGUGGUAAAGCCCAGUCCAUCCACGUGGCAGAUUUUGGUGAGGAAGUCGUUUGUCUUGAUCCAACACUGCCGGUGCCGAUUCCAUCAACCGAUGCAUGACUGAAAGGGAAAGCUGUGUUAUAUCUACUGUGGUAUUCAAAAAAUUUUCAUCAUGUAUAAAGAUAGACACCAUCUAUAACUUGACUGUCAAAACAGAAAGUUUUUCUCACCCCAAAAAACAAAACAUCAUCUGAUAUGACAACAGUUACAGCUCUAUUCUAGAUGAACUUAACAUUCCUAGGGGCUGCCAGGCAACAUGUACAUGCUUGUUUAAUUAAGAAUUAAACAAGCUUGAACAAAAAAGAUGUUCAAGUUGUCAAAACAAGCUGUCAUCCAAGUGAAGGACAAGAAAUGUACUCACUUCGAUAUAGAAGUAGCAUCUUCAGGUGGGUCUGAAGCCAACACCCUCUUAUAAUAUUUCCAGGAUGGAUUUGAAUUUGUAACUGCUCUUUGACCAAAUGGAUUCUGCUCCACAUAUUUCCUAACAUCGUCAGCCAAAGCUAAGCUUUCUAGGUAGACCCGCAGGUCACCUCCAGGUCCUGCAUAAAGGAUUAAUUUGUGAACAAUAAAUUAGGGCACCAAUGAAAAACUGCAACUGAGAGAAUGAGAGCAUCAUCAGCUACUGGAUGAUCUUUUUCUGAGAAAGAUAUAAUAAGCCUAACCAUAAAGUAGCAGAUAAGAGGUAGCAAAAUAAUGCACAAGGCGACCUG
rnacentral:lncRNA from 1 species